ACGGUAGUGACACUUUAUUUUUCCUUCAAGCACAUGGGAGAAGACAAAAGUACUAAAUGAUCAUUGAGUUUGACAGAGAAAUUCUACUAGUACUUACACUGCUUAGGAACAUAAAUGUCAAGUACAUUACUAGGGCAAGAAAUAUCAAGUAAGACAACAGAGUCAUAUUUUUCUUUUUGAGGUUAUUUUCACAAGACAUAGCUAUAAUUUGUAAAAUAUUCAGACUAUUGAAAGAUCACAUUCAAAUUAUAUUUCUAAGAAUAGAGCCAUAUAUGAACAGAGAGCAAAACAAGCUAAUACAUUAAUGUUCACUGAAUUCUUCAUACUGCACAGGACACAAAUUUGGUAUUUUUGCACAUGUUGUCAAUUAUAAGCAAAAAGCAGGCCUGUAAACAUCAAUUUUGUCAUAGGCUGAAACAGAGAAAGGAAAUGGAUUUUACUCAAAAACAGUGACAUAAGGAGCAUAUACCAUUAAUCUUCCACAUAUAUAAAGGUCACUCCUAGGAUAAUUGAGAGAAAACAUCGACUUACAUUUUGUUUACAAAAAUCUACUGGUGAAUUCAAGGACUUAGGAAAAAUUGAAGGAAAAUCUUCCUCCAAGCAUGCUAUUUAAACCCCAGCCCCUCUUCCCUGGAGAGCACCUCAGGGGCCUCCCCUCCCACCCCUGAUCCUGCAGGGUCUUUCCUGUGAGCCUUUCCAAACCCACUCCACAGCAGGCUCAUUCCUGCUCUGGACUUUUACUCAGUUUCCCAACCUAGAUUAACCUCUCCACUGUGUGUGUUCAGACCUCCUAAACCCUCAGGUAGCUUAGGGCAAGGCCUUCAAAACCAAAGGGGAAAAGGGUGAUGGUGGAUGGUCUUUAUCACCACACAUGAUCAUAACUAAGCCUUGACGGCAUCACUGUCCCACCUACUGGAACUUGUCCGUGAAAAUCCACACAGAUGCUACACAUCCCCUUAUCCCCUAACAAGGAGGCUGGAGAUCCACAAUGCAGGCUGCAGCCUGCUUCUUCGUUUGUUAGGAGCAGGGAAGGAAAUGAAGAAGCUGAGAAAUGAGGGCCAAGAAAGCCAGGCAGUAGGAUGGAGACCCAAGGGACAUCAGGGCAGAAACAAAAUAGUACAAAGGAGAAGAGUGACCUACAAAAUGCUACCCUAGGGUCAUUUCCAAGCAGUCCAAGGCCCAAAAAAGAAUUUCCAUCUUUAGAAAAGUGGAGUGAAGCUAAGUUUUGGUUGCCUUUGCUCACAUCACGAAGGCCUUUGCCUUUAACCCGUCCUGAACCCAUCACUGUGAGGCCCUUCUCUCUCUUUCCAGCUUCUCAAACUAAAAACUCAAGAAAUACACAGGUUUUGGUAGAAUGGAUGGGGUAAAAAGAUAAAGAUGUCAAAAUCUGCCUAAUUUAACACUGCCUAUAACUAAACAAUUAACCUAUAGGUCUCCCUUUGAAACUUUCAGACCUUGCUAAAAGAAGUGGGGUGGAGGAAUAAGGGCAAUAAGAGAUCUGGAGCCCAUUUAAUCAUAACCUUUCUGAACACAAUCAGGGAAAGAGCAAAUUAAACAAAAAGCCUGCUUUGCCAGUUUUGUUUUCUGUUAGUAAGCUAAAACUGCUUCAGAGUGAAAGGGAAGAAAAGGGAUGGGAGGGAGAGGGGGAGGGAGAGGGGAGGGGGAGGGAGAGAAAGAGACAGAGAGAGGCAUAACAAGUCUCACAUUCCAGAAAUAUCUCUUCCUCAAUGCCCCAACUCUGGCAACUUUUGUCAUGUUCAGAGUGGGUGCAGGCGGGGAAAAGAGGAAAUGCCUAAAGAAGUUGCUCAGAUUAAGGAUGGUUUGUUGGCUAGGAGUCAGAAAGACUAAGCUGGAAGGGACUGCGUUCCAGCCCUGCUUUGGGCACUGUCACAUAUGACUGCCCAUCCUGGUGGUAGGGGGUGUUGCUGUGAGCUCCCUGGGAGCUACGUCUACAGAUAGUUCCUGAUGAGGCAGACAAUGGUGGCCUAAGCAAAGUUCAACCAGAAGGUGAGAGCAAGUAGGGGUGGGCUAUAGCACAGGCUUCAUACUCACCAGUAGCUGGUCAUGAUGUAGAGUAACCAAAGGUACAGGAAAACCAAUGUGAUAACAUAGAACACUUUUCGUCUAUUACCUCAGUCACGCCUAGCAGUCACCCAUCAGCCACCAGCUUGUUCUAUCAGAUAACCAGUAGGGUGGAUGGCACAAGCCCAGGAAGGCAGCUGGGAUCCAGUUGGUGGUAGUCUGGAAUGUCCAAUUUGGGUUGAUGGCCGGGUUAAGAUAUCAGUUUUGUCUUGCAGUGGUAAUACCCAAAUAGCUUACCAUAAGUACAUGGGUAUCAGGACACAGCCAGCAUAAAGUAUGAAGCCCAAUCAGUUAUUUGUGAAGAUGUAUCAAGAUUCUUUGUGGUACAGAACCACUUAAAUUGGGAGAAGAGCAUGGUCACAGACAGGGUCCAAGCCAUGCAAAGAAAGGCAGUAUGGUACACUAUAUCUAUAGUAUCAUACGCUUGGCAUAGAAGCCGUAGAAGGCCAUGCACUUGAAACAUGUUAACACAAUGCAGAAAAGCAUGAAGGCCCAGAGGAAGAAUGGCACAGGCAGGUAAGCCAACAAUCUUGCAACCGAUUACUGAAGAUUUAGAAGAACCAAAGGAAAAGAUAAUCCACAGUAUGAAGAGAAAGCAGAUGGAAGACUGCAUGCUGUUGGCCAAGCAUAGGUCCAAGGGGAGGUGGUAAGGAAACUUGUGCAGAAGCUUCUCACAGGACAGAGAUUAGCCAGACUGGAACCUGAAGGAUCUGGCGCUCUCCACUGGCUGCCUUGGUGGGCCUCGAAUUCCUCUACGGGGCCCUUCACCCAUCAGGUAGUAUUGUAGGGGAUUGGGCCACAGUUCUCCUUUGAUAAUCUCUGCAAUUCUGUCGAAUUCUAGAAGGCUGUGGUCUGAAAACCAGUUGAAGAAACUAGGGAUAGUGUUCCCUUCCCGGUUUCUGUGGAUAUGAGCCUGGGGGUCUUGGCCUCGGUGCCAGCGGAUUGGAGUGGAAAGAGACACCACUCGGCCAGAGGAUCUGCGUUCAUAUUCCUUGACGAGCCCCUCAUUUCGGAAGUAGGGGUUGCCCUGAAAGAUGAACUUGAAUUUGCAGCCUGCUCUGGGGUGUUUAAGCUCCUCCACCUCCAAAUUGAUCAUGUACCUCAGCAUGUCUUCAUCUUGGCCACUGAUCAUAGGUGACAGCUGGGGGUGGUUUCGAAAGGCAGUAACCCAGAAACCUGGGAUAUUCUGGAUAAUGAAACUUCUGCGCUGCAUGUGGAGCCUUCGCAUGCGGCCAAACUUGCGCUCAAGCUGAAGGAAGGCCCUGUCAGCCUGGGCAUUUACGUUUGACAACUCUUGAUCGAUGGCCUCCAGUGAGUCCAUGCAGUUAUUGAUCUUCGGGGCCCUGGGCCGUGUCUCCUCUUUCACCCCUCCUGCCACCUUUUUUUCCUUCUGCACUACCUUCUUUUCCUCCAUCGCCGCCCCUGCUUCUCCCUCCUUUUCCACUGCUGCCGAGAUGGCGCAUUUUUUAGUCGUCACUUCCUUGGCCUUCUUCCCGGGUAUCAUCUGAGACCCCAAGCCCCCUGCGCCACAGGCUUCUAGAGCCUUCUGCCCAGCAGGGCCACGGGGCUCUCCAAGCUGACAGCCAUUUUUCUGGCUGCUGUCAGCAGCCUCGGCGGCAGAGGCUGCUUCCAGACCUUUCGUAGAAGGUGGAGCAUCCUCCUGCCCGGCUUUGGUCGCUGCACCGCCGCGACUCCCGGCAACUGGGACGCGGAGCGCGGGGCCACAGUCGACAGGAUCCUGGGAUGCACCCCCCUCCGCAACGGUCUCCAGGCUGCCCCCACCUGUGUUCGCCAUCACCUGUGUCGCCUCGGUUUCUUCACGGAGCCCUUGGCACUGGUCUAGGUCCGGAUCUCCUGAGGCACGGUCGGGAGCAGCCAGGCCGCCGGUUUGGGCGAGAGGGAGCUUGUUGCCCCCAUCCAGGCGGCUCAUUUUGGAAGAAGUCAGACUAGUGGGAGAGGGAGAGUUCCUUGUCCUCCGCAGCGGCCGAGCUCUGCCCGAAACGUCUAGCACCACCCCUCCUUUACUCUCGGCGGUGCUACCAUGGCAACUGGUGAUGUCAGGGCGGUAGCGUCGUAACAUCGCGCGAGAACUCUCUGCGCGGGUGACUACGCUUAUCAAUCCAUCGUAUUCCUUUGUCUUCUUGUCACAAAAAGAAUUUCGUCAGUCUGGAAGGGGAGUUUUACUUACGUAAAUGGAUGUAGACCAGACUCAAGCAUGUUACAAUCUUAAUCUAAAAGUGGUUCCUGCU
rnacentral:lncRNA from 1 species